ACUGAAGAGUUUGAUCAUGGCUCAGAUUGAACGCUGGCGGCAGGCCUAACACAUGCAAGUCGAGCGGAUGAAGGGAGCUUGCUCCUGGAUUCAGCGGCGGACGGGUGAGUAAUGCCUAGGAAUCUGCCUGGUAGUGGGGGAUAACGUCCGGAAACGGGCGCUAAUACCGCAUACGUCCUGAGGGAGAAAGUGGGGGAUCUUCGGACCUCACGCUAUCAGAUGAGCCUAGGUCGGAUUAGCUAGUUGGUGGGGUAAAGGCCUACCAAGGCGACGAUCCGUAACUGGUCUGAGAGGAUGAUCAGUCACACUGGAACUGAGACACGGUCCAGACUCCUACGGGAGGCAGCAGUGGGGAAUAUUGGACAAUGGGCGAAAGCCUGAUCCAGCCAUGCCGCGUGUGUGAAGAAGGUCUUCGGAUUGUAAAGCACUUUAAGUUGGGAGGAAGGGCAGUAAGUUAAUACCUUGCUGUUUUGACGUUACCAACAGAAUAAGCACCGGCUAACUUCGUGCCAGCAGCCGCGGUAAUACGAAGGGUGCAAGCGUUAAUCGGAAUUACUGGGCGUAAAGCGCGCGUAGGUGGUUCAGCAAGUUGGAUGUGAAAUCCCCGGGCUCAACCUGGGAACUGCAUCCAAAACUACUGAGCUAG
rnacentral:rRNA from 1 species